ACAAAUUCAGACUGAAAUUUAAACUCAGAUUACGCCACUGUGUAUCCUCUGGAUCUUAGCAGCAUUAACUCUUCUGCAGACACUUUAAUUUAGCUCUAAUUUUACUCAAUUUCAUCGGUCUUUUGGUAUUACAAACUCGAUUUAGGUUUCGCUUUAUGGUAGCUCACCAAAAUAUAAAUUUUUCAUAGGUUUUAGUUGUAACCACGAAUUUACAUCAGGCUUAGAUUGUGGCGUACGUAGUACCAAUAACCAUAUGCUCUGAAAUGUCCAUCAUAUGUUCGCAAGUAUGCAUGUGCCCUUAUAUAUUUGCUUAAAGCUUGUGUUUGUAGAAGUAUUUACCAUAAUUUAUUAGAAAUAUGGUGGCAGUGACGCAUGAAGUGGCAUUGCAACUCAAUUCUGUUAUCGAAUGUGUGUGUGUGUUUGCAGUAUGUAAGCUUUUUUUUGUGGUUUGCCACAAUAUUCUUAACCACCCCCUGUUGCUCCUCUAUAAACUUAGUGCAGUAUAAAAAGAGCAAUGCUCGGUGCAAGAAGCUCAGUCUACUAGAACUCUUCAAUGUGACUUGAUAUUAAACAAUUAAAUUAGUUUACUAGUGAUAGGUUUAACCAAAUAUGUGGUAUUUGGCUGUUUACAAAUUAAUUAAAUCUUUUUUUUUCAGAUUUAGUGUCCAAAAAGGACUAUCCAGUCCUUAAAAAAUUCUCGAAUGCUAAAAGAUACUUCAACUUCACAGCUUUCCAAUAACUACAUCAAGUUUCUCCAAUAUUCGGCGUACUUAAACGACAAAGCGUUUGCUCUGAAAGAUUUGUUGAGCAUAAUUUUAUUUAAAGAAUUUGAACUCUCGAAUCCAAAAAAAUAUCUCUAUCAACAACAUCUUAAAGUGAAUUUAAAGAGCUUUCCCAAACGCAAUUUAGAUAGCCUUGGUGGGGGGCAUCUAAUAAAGAGACAAGAACAACUUAUAGCAGAUAAUGUUUAGGCAUUAGCAAUUCCCGGUCUGCCUUAUAAAGCAUUACACGCAUAUCAUUAUCCUAAUUAUUAUGCCAAUAUCGGAUUUCUAAUGAAUAAAUACACAUAUAUGACUUACAUUAUUUAUAAUUUUUUUCUAAUUUUAUCAAUCGAUAUAAGUUAGUGUUAAAUUGUGACUUUUGGCCCCCCGGACUUUAGAUAUUUAGCUUAGGCCCGGGUUUGCAUAAAAACCUUAACAGAUCCGUGUCCAUCUCUUGUAUGUAUUGCAGUUUUACUUAAAUAUGUAUGUACAUAUACAUAGUCACAUCUUUAUAUAUAUAUAUAUAUCACAUCUUCUGAAAGGAGUAAUAAGCAGUCUUAUCUACUUAAUGCUUUAAAUAAUCAAGUUAUAUUAUUUUGUCUAAGCUUACUUGGAUAGUUUGCAUGGCGACUUUAUAGUAAG